CAGCAGCCGCGGUAAUACGUAGGGUGCGAGCGUUAAUCGGAUUUACUGGGCGUAAAGCGUGCGCAGGCGGCCCGUUAAGACAGGUGUGAAAUCCCUGGGCUCAACCUAGGAAUUGCGCUUGUGACUGGCGGGCUCGAGUACGGUAGAGGGGGGUGGAAUUCCUGGUGUAGCAGUGAAAUGCGUAGAGAUCAGGAGGAACACCGAUGGCGAAGGCAGCCCCCUGGGCCUGUACUGACGCUCAUGCACGAAAGCGUGGGGAGCAAACAGGAUUAGAUACCCUGGUAGUCCACGCCCUAAACGAUGGGUACUAGCCGUUUGGUGCGCGAGAGCGCUGAGUGGCGAAGCUAACGCGAGAAGUACCCCGCCUGGGGAGUACGGCCGCAAGGUUGAAACUUAAAGGAAUUGGCGGG
rnacentral:rRNA from 1 species